AUACGGAGGGUGCAAGCGUUACUCGGAAUCACUGGGCGUAAAGCGCGCGCAGGCGGCUAUUUAAGUUGGAUGUGAUAGCCUAUGGCUCAACCAUAGAACUGCAUCCAAAACUAUUUAGCUAGAGUGUGGGAGAGGAAGAUGGAAUUAGUUGUGUAGGGGUAAAAUCCGUAGAGAUAACUAGGAAUACCAAAAGCGAAGGCAAUCUUCUGGAACACUACUGACGCGGAGGCGCGAAAGCGUGGGGAGCAAACAGGAUUAGAAACCCUAGUAGUCC
rnacentral:rRNA from 1 species